UACGAGAGGCCCAAACGUUAUUCGGAUUUACUGGGCUUAAAGAGUCCGUAGGCGGCGCGACAAGUGGGGUGUGAAAGCCCUCGGCUCAACCGAGGAACUGCGCUCCAAACUGUCGUGCUAGAGGAACCUAGAGGUGAGCAGAACAGAUGGUGGAGCGGUGAAAUGCGUUGAUAUCAUCUGGAAUACCGGAGGCGAAGGCGGCUCACUGGGAGUUUUCUGACGCUGAGGGACGAAAGCCAGGGUAGCGAACGGG
rnacentral:rRNA from 1 species